AAUCCAUGAUGUGGGCACUUGCGUAAUAAAUAAUUGAACCGCUCCCACACCUCAUAUAGUGAUUCUGUAUCAGCCUGCAAAAACAUUGUAAUUUCGUUACGUAACU